ACAGCCAUCAAUCACUAACAUAGAAAGGCUGCUGGUUAGCAACCAGCAUUAUUGGCCCAGGGGCUCCCCCCUAGGAAAAUAAUCUAGCAGAAACACUGCUGUGUGCCAUCAGUGUUACUGCCUGUGAUGUCAUAUGUGUUCCAACCAUUGGUGUCACUGCACAGUCAUCAACAUUGCGUUGGUGUUUUAUGCUGCUGGGUUCAGAAUCCUGCCUGUAGAAAGUGUACAGAUAUACACAGCAGUUUCAUAUGAGCAGUGUUUCUGCUGCAUUCAUUUAGCUGUCGAACUGCACCAUGGUAAAAUCUGCAAUGUUUUUAAACAUAAUACAUUUUUUAACAUCAUAGUAUUUCUACCAAACAUGCAGUACUUUUGAUAAUCUGUCUGGGUACAACACCAUUCUAAAGGUUAUUUAGCUCUGUCUGGGUACAACACCAUUCUAAAGGUUAUUUAGCUCUGUCUGGGUACAACACCAUUCUAAAGGUUAUUUAGCUCUGUCUGGGUACAACACCAUUCUAAAGGUUAUUUAGCUCUGUCUGGGUACAACACCAUUCUAAAGGUUAUUUAGCUCUGUCUGGGUACAACAUCAUUCUAAAGGUUAUUUAGCUCUGUCUGGGUACAACAUCAUUCUAAAGGUUAUUUAGCUCUGUCUGGGUACAACACCAUUCUAAAGGUUAUUUAGCUCUGUCUGGGUACAACACCAUUCUAAAGGUUAUUUAGCUCUGUCUGGGUACAACACUGUUCUAAAGGUUAUUUAGCUCUGUCUCGGUACAACACCAUUCUAAAGGUUAUUUAGCUCUGUCUGGGUACAACAUCAUUCUGAAGGUUAUUUAGCUCUGUCUGGGUACAACAUCAUUCUGAAGGUUAUUUAGCUCUGCCUGGGUACAACACCAUUCUAAAGGUUAUUUAACUCUGUCUGGGUACAACACCAUUCUAAAGGUUAUUUAGCUCUGUCUGGGUACAACAUCAUUCUAAAGGUUAUUUAGCUCUUUGUGCCACUGUGACAGCCAAACCUGCCUGUGCACGAAACAGUGCACUGUCCUCGAGACAGCAUGCUUGUCAGACCCAGAGAGACAGCAAGCCAGUCACUGGGACGCAAUACAUAUUAGGAACUUUUGUAAUUCCUUCUCUUCAGACCUCACCCCUCACCUAGUCAAGUCUCAACACUGUACUAGUCAAGUAUCACCCUACCACCUCAACGCCCCCCCC